AUUGGUGUAUGUGGAUUCGCCAUCACAGAUAAACUCUUUUACAUUCUUAAUGUUUGCUCUAUUGAACCUAUAAGUUAUAUGAUUAACUGAAAGUCUAGAGAUUUGGCACACAUUUGGAACCUUUCUGUCUGUGCACGAAAAUGCGUAUUCACUUGAUUUUAAUAGCAUGUUAAAUUGAUUAAAACUUUGAAAGUUAUAGGAGCUGUGAAAGAAAAAAUAUAUAAAUAAAAAAUAUGGGAAAAACAUGUAGCAAAGCACAUCCUGUGACACAUGCUAUGAAAGCCGAUCCUGACCUGGACUCCACCCCACCGCGACGCCCACAGCCGGUAAGGAGGAAGAAACCUGCAGUUUCAGAGGAACCUGCUCAUGAUGAAGCGGCCCAGCCUAUGCCACUCUAUCCGAGCCUGUCAGAACUGAGCCACCAACCCCCACCGAACUAUGCUCCAGCGGACUUUUUUGCAUUUUGCAAGAAACUCUCCAGAGCAGAAGCGAACUGAUGGGCAGAGCUAAGGGAAGGGUGAGGCACCUGGAAACAGAAGAGCUUUCAGACCUCCGAUUAUGAGCUACGGAUGAGGAAAAGGCUGUGUGCCGCAAAGCAGGCUGCACGGUUGUUGACAGAGUUCGGCGGUGCCCCCAUGGCUGUCCUUGUCUUCAAAGUUGACGCAUGGCAGGGACCAUGCGUCAAAAGGUGGAAUGAUAGCUGCGACAGCGGGACCAUUUGUCCAUUAUGGUCCGACUGGCCUAAUGAGGGAUGGGGAGAUGGCAGAAGGAAGUGACGAAUCAGGAAGUGACAAAUCAGGAAGUGACAAAUCAGGAAGUGAGAUGAGGUUUGAAGAAGAUGGCGGAAGAGUUAGGAGUGUAUGGAACAUAGUACGAUCGAGAAAACAGGGGAAAAAGUGAAAAAAGAAGGUCUGGCACAAAGGAUUUUUUUUUUAAUGGGUUGGUUAGGUGUUCACGGAAGAGGUGUUGUUGUGUAUGAAUGAGUCAGGCGCUCUGAGUGUGGAGAAGGGGCUCCAUUUAUACCUUUCAUCUAUAAUCACAUAAAUGAAGUGAUUAAUAAAGGGUUUCUCUCUUUAUGCCAAAGGUGCAUUAUGGGAACAUUCCAAAGUUACACUGCAUGCUAAAUGGCUCUUUUAGGUGAACUGACAUAUAGGAGGCAUUUAGAGUCUUCCAUUUUUCUUUUCUUUUUAUUUUCACGCUAACUCUACAUGCUAUAUGACCUGGUCUUUUUCCAGACUUCAGCAGUCCAGUUUGUGUGAGUCUGUGCUUAUGAUAGCUUCAGACUCCUGUUCUUGUGUUUGUCACUUCCUGCUCCUGUCUCUGCCCCUUGGGUUGCUACCGUGAUUGUAAACAGAUGGCCCAGUUUAGGUGGAGAAUAUUGCUAGGUUCCUGUAUUUCAUGGACCCCAGCAGCUGAGCCUCCUGUUCACCAGCAUGAAUGCUCUCUAGAGUCUUUCAACAAGCUCUUGCAGGCUGGACUCAGCAAGCAGGUGCUCCAAAACCUUCUGAAAAGCAUUAAAAGUUCAGCAGUGUGUAGUAGAUAUUGUUGAACAAUGUUGUACUGUAAGAGACUUGGAAUCAUAGGGGCUGAUAUUUAGUUUGGAAAAAAAAGCCAAUGUUCUUGAAGUUCCAUGUUGGCUGCAGAAAUCUCUGCUUUGAUGACUUUUGUAAGAUUUCCUGCAAGAGUUUGACUUUUUUUUCCCUUGACCGUGUCCAGCAGCUCCAUCAAAGCAAGUAAGUAAAGAAGUGAUGAGAGGACAGUAUCUUUUAUUUUUCUAUGUCUGUUUAUGAGGACAAGCUGCAGCUGCAAUAUAAUGACCCAUCUAUUUAACAUGACUGCAAUGUCUUUCACAUCCUGCCUGGACAUUUCCCUUUCACACCAUUAGAGAGAGCCCUUUCCUGAAUUUUAAAAGCUCUGCUUCAUUUACCGUGAUUGUUUCCUGUUCCCAUGCUAUAUAAAGCAUGUGAAGUGUUUAGUAAUGUAGUUUAGUUGGUGUUUGCCUGUGAAUUGUCUUUGCCUCUUUCCUAGUGCUCCUGUUUUGAUGUAACAUCUGAUUGAUAUUUUGUCCCUUCA